UCUAUUCUUUCUUUAAAAGUU
rnacentral:piRNA from 1 species